rnacentral:rRNA from 1 species
UAGGGAAUCUUCGGCAAUGGACGGAAGUCUGACCGAGCAACGCCGCGUGAGUGAAGAAGGUUUUCGGAUCGUAAAGCUCUGUUGUUAGAGUAGAACGUUGGUAGGAGUGGAAAAUCUACCAAGUGACGGUAACUAACCAGAAAGGGACGGCUAACUACGUGCCAGCAGCCGCGGUAAUACGUAGGUCCCGAGCGUUGUCCGGAUUUAUUGGGCGUAAAGCGAGCGCAGGCGGUUCUUUAAGUCUGAAGUUAAAGGCAGUGGCUUAACCAUUGUACGCUUUGGAAACUGGAGGACUUGAGUGCAGAAGGGGAGAGUGGAAUUCCAUGUGUAGCGGUGAAAUGCGUAGAUAUAUGGAGGAACACCGGUGGCGAAAGCGGCUCUCUGGUCUGUAACUGACGCUGAGGCUCGAAAGCGUGGGGAGCAAACAGG